UAACCAAUUUGUAGUCCUCCAGUAUUCCAGGAGGCAAAGCUCCCAGGUGGACCAGUUAUCAAGGUCUCUACAGCCCUGGACUGACAGCUGGAAAUGGGCAGCAGGAGGUGUUUAUCAGCUUCUUCCACAUGGGCUUCCUGAACUGUAUUGGGUCCAUGGGCUGCACCCACAUCCCCAUCCUCUGCUUACCCAAGGUGCCCAGGAGUUCAUCAACCACAAGGUCCUGAAGAAAGAGGUGAAGAAAUAAAAAUGGAUCCCCCUGAAGGAGAGAGCAUGUAAAAAUAAAUAUGAAAAACCAGAGGAUGGGAGACGAGCAGGAUGCUCCUUUAUGAAAUCCUGCUGGGCUAUGACUGAUACUAAACCACCUGAAUGCUGGCAAUUGCUGUGGGAUGACGGAUUGUAUUUUUCAGAUUAGACUUGACAUGAAUGAUGUUCCUUUUCCAGAGAUGCAUUUAAAAUCUUGGACACACCAUGGGUUCCCCAUACUGCUCAGCUGUGCAAAUGAAAAGAGUUUUAGGCAUGCUACAAUAUGUGGGACAAUUUUGAGCGAAGGAAGCAAACUGUAGGAUGCUUUAUGUUAUAUAUUUGUGUCCUUUUCAAAUGUUUCUUCAAUAGGUUACACCACCCACUGGGCCGCUUGGCUGUCUGCCAUCUUCCCUGUUGCCCUGCACUACUGUAUUAAGUCAUGUUGUUUUGUGUGAUCAGAUGGUUGAACCUAACAAUUUAACACUUGGAUUCUUUCCUCUUCAAAUGUUUAGAUUCAUCUUCAGAAAUUAUAUACAUUUGAGUUAUUUUUCUCUGCUUUAUCACACAUACAAUGUAGAAAUUAUGCUGGAAAACUGAUUCUAAACAACUUGAGCCCAUAAUUCUUAGCUACUUUUCAAAACUGUUUAUUACGAGAGAGAGGUGGGAGUAGACGAAGGGAGGGGGUGGACUCUGAAAACAUCUGUGGACCUGAUUCUUUGCAUGCAGCUCACACAAGCAGCAGCAGCCUGGACAAAACUAAGGGGGACAUCAGGUAGCAGGAGUGAGCUCUAGAACUGCCCUGCUACACCUCCUGCUGGGUGACCUUGGACAAGUCAUUUUCUGGGCUUGACCUGACUGAUUGCUAAGUAAUCUCACCCAGAUCCAGCAAAGCAUAUACUUCUCUAAGAAUAUGGUAGAAGUGAAAUUAAAUGACUUAAGUAAAAAUA